CCUACGGGAGGCAGCAGUGAGGACUAUUGGUCAAUGGGCGCGAGCCUGAACCAGCCAAGUAGCGUGAGGGAAGACGGUCCUAUGGAUUGUAAACCUCUUUUGUCGGGGAGCAAAAGCCGCCACGCGUGGCGUUCCGAGAGUACCCGAAGAAACAGCAUCGGCUAACUCCGUGCCCGCAGCCUCGGUAAUACGGAGGGUGCGAGCGUUAUCCGGAUUUAUUGGGUUUAAAGGGUGCGCAGGCGGACGAUCAAGUCAGAGGUAAAAUUGAGAGGCUCAACCUCUUCGAGCCGUUGAAACUGGUUUUCUUGAGUGAGCGAGAAGUAUGCGGAAUGCGUGGUGUAGCGGUGAAAUGCAUAGAUAUCACGCAGAACUCCGAGUGCGAAGGCAGCAUACCGGCGCUCAACUGACGCUCAUGCACGAAAGUGUGGGUAUCGAACAGGAGUAGAUACCCUUGUAGUC
rnacentral:rRNA from 1 species